CCGUCGCUCCUCUAUCGUCAUCUCAUUCGCCUGUUCGAUCGCCACGGAGCUCUCUUCAACGGGAUCGGCGUCAAACUGCAGACCUUGCUAAGGUCUUGCCUGCAGCCGACCACCUGACGAUCGGCCCAUGUUGGAAGAUAAGUUUAGGUUGUAGAGGAAUAGAUCAGAUCUUGAAGGAGGAAUAUUACCAUUUAGUUGUUUUUAUACUUUUCAAAUGUUUGAUUGACCUGAUGCUAUAAGGAGCUGUAGGCUUCUUACUGGAAUGAUUCGUAAGAAUGCUCGUCGAAUUAACUAUUUGACUUGGUUGCAUGUGGCAACUGCGUGCAUCUGGUUUAAAUAUAGUCACCUUGUGGGCUCAUUUUGAGCAGUACAAUCAUUGCAUUUGAAUGAAUUGCCCCAUCAUUCAUUGCUCAUUGAAAUAUGGGACUCUCCAUUAACGGAAAUGAAAGUUACUCCACCUCCUGUUUACUGUUCUUUGAUACUCUUCAAAGUUCAAAUUCCUUAUGGUUCUGCCUGCAAAAUUUCAUAGCAAACUUUUUCUAUACUAUGUGGAUCUCAACCCUAAGUGAAAGCUGACUUGGAAAUGGAUGACACAGGUGUUUAUUUUUAUCAUCAUACCAUUUAAAUUAGUUCUACACUAAUCUUGAUCUUGGAACUAAAUUAUCUAUCCAUCAAUUCCUGAAAAGAGAACGCCUUCUGGUAUCAUGGAGUUCUCUCUAUUUUCCUAUCUAGUUAAUGGAUGAUAGAAUGGUCAAGAUAUUAGUCAUUGUAAGGUGUAGAUAAACUGAAUCAGUACAUUUCUUUAAGCCAACUUAUUUAGGAUAAUAUAGAUGCUAUGUAAUGGUGACCUUCAAUAAAAGAGAAUAGUUUACAGAAACUUAACACGGAUUUGUUCUUUUCCUAUACUUAUAGAGCCUAGGCUUUUCCAUGGUUACGCAAUGUUUCCUGGCACUUUAAAAAACCACUCAGCUUGAAAUAAAUUAGAUUUGGCACCAUGGCCGUCAUCAGAAAUUGUCAUAUUCAAUUAUCAUGCUUUGGUUAAGCAAAAAAAUACGACAAAACCUUCGUUUGUUUUAAUCUGCUCUUGAUUUAUUCUAUUUGGGAAGAGAAAACUUGAAGAGAAGAAAAGCUUAACCAUCUUCUUUAUGCCGACAUUAGAAUACAUAGAUCUACCUAUACAUUUCAGAGGUAUUUGGCUUGAGAUCUUAUGGAAUUCCUGUCUACAUAUCCAUUUUUUAUGGGGCAGUACUACUCUGUAUGAUUGUACACAUCUCUUACAAUAACCAUAUGAGAUAUUAUUGGGCUGAAACUUUGACUUCAAGGACUGCAACAAAAUUGUAUCUUUCUGGGACAAUCUGAUCAGUUGUGCAGUGGAUUUGGACCCUGAGGCACGAAUCUCUUGGAAACUCCAUAAAUUGGACUGAAGUCGUCCUGCUCAUCUUGCUUGCUAGGAGGAGAUCUGUUGGAGAAAUAACCCAUGGGAGGUGCUGAAUACUUGCUCUUCCAUCUCUCUACUUCUCUGUUGAUGGUCCUCGCAUGACCCAGAGCAUUGAGUUGUCCAGUAGCCAGCAAUAGCAGGAGAAAAGAGACCAGGCACGACCAAGAAUGGUCUUGCAGCCUCAUGGCGAGGGAAGGCUGAAGAGGAAGGAGGAGGUAGGGAGGGAACUAGAGCAAGCCACCAAGGUUGAAAUAAAGUCAGCUGUCCAGCUGACUAAAAAUUAAAAACCCAUUUGGUGCCCUUAGAAAUGCUUCAUCUAAGCAUGCUUCCUUGAAAUCCAAACAAGCAGAAAGAGGUAAAAUGAUCGAAAUCAAUGCUUUGUCCUACACAGUCGGUGUUGACAUUGUUGGUUGUAGAUUCUCUUAUUUACAUUUGUCAUUACUAGUGAUGCAGUGAUCAUGAUAAAAUUCAGCAAUCCAGCGUCAUCAACAUGACUCUGCGUCUUUGUUAAAUCUUAUCAUUAUAUCAGACUCAUAUUCCUGCUUGAGUUCCUACGUUUGCAUUCUUAUGAUUGCUUGAUAUUUGGCAUCUUUGCAGAGUCUGAUACAGAGCUAUAGGAAAUAGUCGAACUGAAGCACAACUCAGCCCAAGGAGGUCUCCGUGGUUGGGUAUUUUAGCAUGAUCUUAAUGUUGUGAUUACUUCAGAUGAGGGAAGGGAGAGGUAGAGGAAGUAGAGGAAAGGAAAGGAAAGAAGGUGGAGGGAGUGCAGGAAGCUAUAAGAUCGAAUAAUUGGUGAUGAGAAAGAAGGG